GAGUUUGAUCAUGGCUCAGAUUGAACGCUGGCGGCAUGCCUUACACAUGCAAGUCGAACGGCAGCACGGGAGCAAUCCUGGUGGCGAGUGGCGAACGGGUGAGUAAUAUAUCGGAACGUGCCCAGUCGUGGGGGAUAACGUAGCGAAAGCUACGCUAAUACCGCAUACGAUCUACGGAUGAAAGCGGGGGACUCGCAAGAGCCUCGCGCGAUUGGAGCGGCCGAUAUCAGAUUAGGUUGUUGGUGAGGUAAAGGCUCACCAAGCCUGCGAUCUGUAGCUGGUCUGAGAGGACGACCAGCCACACUGGAACUGAGACACGGUC
rnacentral:rRNA from 1 species